CACGUAGGGGGCAAGCGUUGUCCGGAUUUAUUGGGCGUAAAGGGCUCGUAGGCGGUUUGUCGCGUCGGGAGUGAAAACUCAGGGCUUAACCCUGAGCCUGCUUCCGAUACGGGCAGACUAGAGGUAUGCAGGGGAGAACGGAAUUCCUGGUGUAGCGGUGAAAUGCGCAGAUAUCAGGAGGAACACCGGUGGCGAAGGCGGUUCUCUGGGCAUUACCUGACGCUGAGGAGCGAAAGCGUGGGGAGCGAACAGG
rnacentral:rRNA from 1 species